rnacentral:lncRNA from 10 species
AUUGACGAAAGGUUCAGAGCAGGAAUUGUGAAACGGCUCCUGGCAGCAGCCUGAAUCUACUCUGCACUCUGUCAUGAUGCCAUUGCCUGGGACUUACGAAUUUUGCUUGUACAAGAUUUAUUAUCUUAUUUUAAACUACAGAAUUCCAAAACACAAGGCAAACCCGGGCCCAAAGGUCUUUGUAGAAGUGGUAGCAGCUGAGAAGGGGACGUUCAUAAUGGCACAUGGAAAUUGGAGGCGUGUGGAGAGAAAACAGACUGUGGGGUCUGAAGACCUGGAACUGUGUACCAGUCCUAUAGUUAACAAGCUCAACCUAUCAGCUGAGGAAUAAGUAGGUUUGGACUAGGCCUGGGCUUCCCAAAGAAACAGCCUGACACUGCUGAUCUGGGAUUUGUGAACAUUCCAUAAUAUUGACUCACGUAAUGACAUGUUAAUCCUUUUCUUCAAUUUAUGUUCAGUACUUUUCUUGCAUUAUAUCAUGGAGAAAGCUUCAAUUUUAUGCUGAGCAAACCUCAGGCUCAGACCCUUUGGCAGGCAGCAGUAUCUAGCUGGAAUUUAAAAAUCACUCCCCUCACCUCCCGCGGCAUUUGAUGUUAAGGUCACUACUAAUUAUGGCAAGUGAU